rnacentral:rRNA from 1 species
GAUGAACGCUGGCGGCGUGCCUAAUACAUGCAAGUCGAGCGAACAGACGAGGAGCUUGCUCCUCUGAUGUUAGCGGCGGACGGGUGAGUAACACGUGGAUAACCUACCUAUAAGACUGGGAUAACUUCGGGAAACCGGAGCUAAUACCGGAUAACAUGUUGAACCGCAUGGUUCAACAGUGAAAGACGGUCUUGCUGUCACUUAUAGAUGGAUCCGCGCCGCAUUAGCUAGUUGGUAAGGUAACGGCUUACCAAGGCAACGAUGCGUAGCCGACCUGAGAGGGUGAUCGGCCACACUGGAACUGAGACACGGUCCAGACUCCUACGGGAGGCAGCAGUAGGGAAUCUUCCGCAAAGGGCGAAAGUCUGACGGAGCAACGCCGCGUGAGUGAAGAAGGUCUUCGGAUCGUAAAACUCUGUUAUUAGGGAAGAACAAAUGUGUAAGUAACUAUGCACGUCUUGACGGUACCUAACCAGAAAGCCACGGCUAACUACGUG